UCCUGAGUUUGGCUGCUUGGCUGCCUUCCUUCUUCAUUCAUGGGCACUUCACUGGCUCCAGGACCCAACCAGGCAGAACAGCACUUCUCCUAAUGUAAGUUUUUAUCUCCACUGCGUCACCUCCCUCUCAAAAACCAAAGUUGUGUUGAGGCAAGAACAUCUCAAGCUAAGCUUUGGGCUCAGUGUUAUGGUUUAUGGGGCUGCUUCAACAAAAUGGCUGAGGUUUUUUGGUUUGGUUGGCUGGGUUUUUUUAAGUUCUGUACAUAUCAUGGGAUAAAAUUAAAAAAGGCCUGAAAAGCAAAAUAAUAUUUUUCAAACAUUUUUCAUCAUUCAAAAAGGAAUGAAUUUCCAGGCCCAGCAUUUGUGAGCUGGGUGAACAUCUUGUGUAGCAGGGAACUGAUUGAAACAGAUAAAGUGAUUACAAAAAAUGUAAGAGCAAUAUUACAUAUGGGAUCAAAAUGGCACAACAGUCUGUGAGGCCUGUAUUAGAGCAGUGAAUAUGAGAGUUCAGAAGGUCCUUAGCACCUGUGAGAAUUUCCAGCCCUCCUGGGUGCGUAUGCUUUGCUGUUUGAAAGCCCAGGCCCUUUUCAGGCCUGGUCCUUCAGAGGCUUGAGCCCUUGCAUAGCAUUCCUCAAGCAUCACCCUAUACAGGGACAGCUCUUGUUUUGGCCACUGCACUUCACAUCUUUCCUGAGCUGGCUGAACAGUGUGGCGUGGCCUUUCCAGUCACUGAAGUUCUGCAGUUUAUUGCUUUUAAUACAGUACCACUGAGAGGCCUCAUCAGAAACUCAGAAAACUCCAGCCUUUGUGAUACCAGGCUCUUGCUUGCCCUUCAGCGGCCAAGGCAGAGGUGUGAUGUCAUCCCCGCCAGCGAAGGAAGGAGGAUGUCUGCAGCCUCCACCGUGCAGAGAGGCAGGAACUGAAGCGAACAUGUCUGAGACUUGGUUAGAGCCUGGUGAUAAUUAAGAAACGUAAUUACCGCUGCAGAGAUAAUUCCUCUUUGAGUUCUUACAAACAAGUUUUUAAUUUGCACCAAAAAUUUACACCCCAGGUUUCAGGUGAACCGCGAGCGCUGUGAGCUCGGCGGGGACUCAGGGCAGGGGCUGGCAGGUUCUGCCAGGCUCCAGGGCAGGAGCACCGUGGCUUCCCAGGAAUGGCGCAGGCAAACAGCUGCCAGCAGCCCUGGGUGCGCACAGGUGAGCGAUGCCAUUGCUUUGGACUGCCUCGUCUGUUGUACAAGUGCGACGGUGAAAGCUGCGGCAGAUGAACUUCUGCUUUUUAUUAAAAAGGAAAUCCAAACCAAAACCCCAACCAACUUAUAAGGUAAUUGAUUGGUUUCUCCUAGUCUUUUAUUAGUUGUGAUUAAGGAGCUAGAGUAGCCCUGUUUACACAGCUCUAACAAGUCAGGACCUGCAGUACAUUAUUGGCUUGCGGCCCACAACGUGCAGUCCAUUCUCAACAGAAUCAAUCUGGAGUUGAAAACAUCCCCUGUAGGAAGCGUACACAUCCCUGCUUAUACAGGAACAGAAAACAGUAAUAACUUCAGGUCCUGUAAGUUGCAAGUGCAACUUACAGAGAUCAGCCCUGACUUGUCAUUGCUCUCAGCAUGUUCGUGAUGAGAUCAGAGUGCUUCACAGAGGACUCGUACUUUCAACUUGACAAGGGACAUAGGUGAGCGGGUUACGCUUCCCUGUUACUCGCAGCUCAGGCUGCAGAAAUAAAUCGAGAGCUCCUCACUGUUUAACAUGCAGUCAAAGCACCGCCAAUCUAAAAUGGCUGAUCAGUAAUACUUUAAUUGCAGUUUCAUAGAAACAAAUUGCUAUUUAAUUGCAAUAAGCUCUUGUGUGGCUUAGCUGGACUGACAAUAGGCAUACACCUGGUACGAACAGUAACAUGCAGCAACAGUGGUUAUCCGGUACUUCAUGUACGGGAGGCUCAGGCAGUGAAAUGGGGCCCGGCACACGUAAUUUCACACGGAAGGAAUGCAAUGCUUAAAAAAUAGAUGUACAUAAAUGUUCCGAUCUCAGUUUUAUUUGUUAUUGAAUAGAGCUGUUCGGGCUGGAGAUCCUUGCAAAAAGCCUCACGCUUGACAAACAACUGCCAGCCAAAGAACCCGAUAGAAAACUUGAAAGUAAAAUGCACUUUUGAAAGGUCUGAUGGUGCUUAAGAGCAGCUCACAGUGUGCAGGACAUGGUGAGGCGUUGGGUGCCUUCUCUUUCUUAGUAUUUACCCUAAUAUUAGAUGAUGCAAAUUUGAUCGGUGUUGGCUAACAGGGAAGAAGGGAGACACCCUCGGUGUGGUUAAUAUUCUAAAGCUGUGACUUAAUUUCCUGGCUUCAUUUUGGUGAGACAUUCUCAUUUUAUAUUUCAUAAGGUACCGCGUAAGCUGUUAAAAUAUUUAAAGAUAAAUCAUGUAGGACUGAACAGACAGUAUCUUGUUGCAAACAGAAUUUGGUUUGGAAAGGCUUAAUGUCCCCCUGCCUGCCAGGAUGCGUAAAUCUCGUCACAGACAGCUGGAUAGGUGAAAACAUUAAACCCAUUCAGAGGGCAAUCUUUUUACGGAGUUGUUUCAUUAAUAAGAGUGACAAUUCCUAUGAUGGAGGCAUUCAGAUGCAGCAUUGACGGAACCUUUUAUCCAGGUUCACCAGGAUGAGUUCAGAUUAGAAAUGUUUCCUUUGGUGCUCUUUAACAGCGUUCAUUCCUGAAAGUGAGGGAAGCUCUUAGUGAAUGAUUAUUUGCGUGACUUUUCCACAGCACUAAAUGCGGAGGGUGUAUUUCAGCCUCGGUAUCGCAAAUGCAUGGGAGAAAAGGUGCACAAGUACCUAUUUUUCCUUACAGAUCUCCCCAAAAAGUGAUUUUUCACAGAAGGACAAACCUAAGUGGUGCCAACAGCCUCCCACCCACACCUCCCAUCCCUAUUUGAGCCUGGUUUAUUGUCUGAAAUACCUUUGGUUUCAAGGAAGUGUUUUACCUAAAGCAAGAAUACUACUUAAAUAUGUUCUAUUGUAUAUUCAUAGCUCCAUUAGUCCUCCUCCAAUUUAGCACAUCAAAGCAAAAGCUUCAUCACUCGCAUGUGGAUUAUGCUAACAUGAGUGACAUUUGUAAUCUUAUAGGUCUGCAACUGAAGAAAUCCUUUUAAAGUAAGCUAUUAAAUAGGUAGCUGUGCUUUACAAACGAGUCAUAUAAUAGUUUAUUUAAAGCCGUUAAUGAACUUCAACCUCACCAGCACUAAAUGCGAUACCACAUUACUUACUGACAGUUAUUAGCUAUCUCCUGAGCACUUCGAGGUUAUAUUGGACAACCAAAAUUCUGCAUGUUAAACACCAUACCUCGAGUGCUUACACUCAAAGCGUGCAGAAAGAUGUCUACAUUCUCACCAACACUUGAAUCCGAUACUCACAUGCCUUCAGGUGUCUUUUCAGAGCAGCACAAUUUGCAGGCCUCUCCUUAAAGACUUCAACACCAGAUCCAAAAGCUCAGAAACUUAAGUUAAAAAAUAGUUUCACUAGCAAGAAGAGCAGAUGGGAGGGGAGAAAGCAGAAAACAACAAAGAGGAAAGAGAGAGAUGACACCAGUAAAUAAGAAGUGCACUGUCUGGUAACAGAUUGUACAGUGAGUAAGGUGGGUUUUCUGGGCCCCUCUUAAACGGGAAGAAACAUUACUCCGUGCCUUUGAAGAAGCUCGUAACAUGAUCUUAUAAUUGGAAGAAAUAGUGUGUAAAGCAAAUAAGAAGUGCAGCCAAUAUCCUCCCAAGGCAACUUUGGUUAAUGUGCUGCAUUGCACAACAGCUAAAUAUAGAGAUUUCAGGAUUCCUCCCCCCACCCCUUUAAAACUCCUCAUCUGCUGCGUUAGUUAACGUUACAUAAACAUUUUAAUACAUGAAGUCAAACAUGUGCUUUCGCACUGGUGUUAAUGAAUUGCGAUAAUUAAAAGUGUCUAACUCAAUAAAAAUCUAAACUUUCAUGGAUAAAAUAGAAAUGAUCAUCCACAGUCUUCAAAUACAAUCUGUUUGCAAUUACCAAAAUGAAAUAAUAUAUAUUAGAUUUUUAUGGGGUUUAAAUGACAUUUUGCGCUUCCCAGGAAGUUCUUUUUUCACCCUUUCUCGAAGUUGCUAAAAGCCUGAGGUCUAUUAGUAACUGCAACCCCCCACUUUCAAGCUAAUUAAAGUAGUAGAGGCUUGGAGGUUUAAUUCCCCAGAGCUGAAGCUCAGUGUGAGAAAGGUAAUUUGUCUGUCCAGAACAAAGAUUAGGGAGCAGCCAGCAAGCAUAUUUAAUAAAUGAGCAUCAAAUAUCCUCUACUAUGGACACAGACAACACCAAUUAUGUAACUACAAGGGAAUUGUUGAGUGAUAUGUAAACCAGAAGAUUUUUAAGAUCUUCUCUGAGAGACGUAAUCUAACUCAUCCUUUAUUUAACAGGACAGAAGCUGCAGACAAGCGUUCGCUACGAACACUGCCAACCGGGGGAAAAUUUACACUCGGAGGAGGUGGUAACACUGCUGCAAACAAGAACUACUACAGGAACACUACGAGUACAGCAGAGAGAGUCCCUUCACGUGGAACAGCGCGCGGGGCAUCAUGCAGGGCGAGUCUGCGCUCUGCAGGCAGGCAGGACUGAGGUCAGAGAACACAGACCGCUCCCACAUGGCACAGCAGGCAAUGGGGGAGUUAUACCUGAUGUCUGCAAAUGGCCCCAGGGAGGCAAAAGGCAGCAACAGCCACCAAGACUGGGGCACAAAACCCCUUCUGCCUGCGCCAGUUACCCACAGGAUUAACCUGCAAACUGUAUGGACACAGUAUCAAGUCCCUGUCACCUACACCUAUGCAACAGAAAUGGGGGUUAAUGACAGGAGUCUCUCUUGAAUUUAAUAAACCCCCCUGUGCAUGUUCUGCUGUGUCUGUAAUCUCCAGUGGUAGAAUAACCUGGAGACUGAUUUAUCUUUAAUGUUUAAUAAGAAGUAUCUGUUACAGCCAACACUGUCAUAGUGGAAUCAUUUUAGUGGCCCUGAAACACAGCUUUCUGGAACAUCUCGGAUGUACACAUCUUCACGCUGUUAAAAAGCCCCCCCCACAACACACAACUCUUGACACCUGUUCCUGCAGCUUCCAAAAUUCAAAAAACCGGGAAUAUCUAUGAAUUGCCAACCUGUCUCCUCACGUGUAUUUCAGUUUUCUGGGGUUCGGGUGCUCUGCAACUUUGAGAACUGGCAGAAUUUGCACCAUUUUCUAGAGAGAUUAUAAUAUAAAGAACCCCAAACUACAACCUCUCCCGCCAGCCUUCUUCCCAGUACCUGGCCAUGUGCCUCAGCACUGGCUGCAGCAACGCCGUUACCUAAUAAAAACUUGUUCUCACUAUUUUCUCUUCAUUUAGCUUCUAUCAGUCAGAUGUCUGCAGUUGUGAGCUCUGCAAACCCAGUCCAAUUUUACUUCUCUCUCCCAUGUUCUAUGUUCCUCAUCAUGUCUACUGCUUUUAUUGCAACUAAAUCAUUUUUAUGUUUUGCAAAGGCAUAGUAAGAAACUGAUAAAACUAAAUGACAAUUUAGACACCUAUUUGAAGUUACAUUAAACUUUACAUUCAUAGAGGACAAGUGGAUAAACCACUCUCGGCAUGGUAAACCUUUUACUGCGGUGUGUAAAGAUGAAUGGUUUUACCUAUAUUUUGAAAGGGGAUAACUAUAAAUAUUCAUUUACCAGAUUCACUGCUGGCGAGGCUGGCAUCACAGAUUUGUUUCAUUAAAAUUCACAACAGUAUAAAUCUA